rnacentral:tRNA from 1 species
GGGUCCGUAGCUCAAUUGGCAGAGCAACUCCCUCUUAAGGAGUCGGUUGAGCGUUCGACUCGCUCCGGACUCACAA